AACGCGAAGAACCUUACCUGGUCUUGACAUCCUCGGAAUCUGCCAGAGAUGGCGGAGUGCCCGCAAGGGAACCGAGAGACAGGUGCUGCAUGGCUGUCGUCAGCUCGUGUCGUGAGAUGUUGGGUUAAGUCCCGCAACGAGCGCAACCCUCGCCUUUAGUUGCCACGCAAGUGGAUCUCUAGAGGGACUGCCGGUGUUAAACCGGAGGAAGGUGGGGAUGACGUCAAGUCCUCAUGGCCUUUAUGACCAGGGCUACACACGUGCUACAAUGGCCGGUACAAAGCGCUGCCAACUCGCGAGAGGGAGCCAAUCGCAUAAAACCGGUCUCAGUUCAGAUUGGAGUCUGCAACUCGACUCCAUGAAGGCGGAAUCGCUAGUAAUCGUAGAUCAGCACGCUACGGUGAAUACGUUCCCGGGCCUUGUACACACCGUAGUAC
rnacentral:rRNA from 1 species